rnacentral:rRNA from 1 species
CCGUCACACCAUGAGAGUUUGUAACACCCAAAGCCGGUGGGGUAACCUUUUGGAACCAGCCGUCUAAGGUGGGACAGAUGAUUGGGGUGAAGUCGUAACAAGGUAGCCGUAGGAGAACCUGCGGCUGGAUCACCUCCUUUCUAAGGA